rnacentral:rRNA from 1 species
GACGAACGCUGGCGGCGUGCUUAACACAUGCAAGUCGAACGGAAAGGCCCUGCUUUUGUGCGGUGCUCGAGUGGCGAACGGGUGAGUAACACGUGAGUAACCUGCCCUUGACUUUGGGAUAACUUCAGGAAACUGGGGCUAAUACCGGAUCGGAGCUCAUCCUGCGUGGUGGGGGUUGGAAAGUUUCUGCGUGUGGGGAUGGAAUCGCGGCUUAUCAGCUUGUUGGUGGGGUAGUGGCUUACCAAGGGAUUGACCGGUAGCCGGCCUGAGAGGGUGACCGGCCACAUUGGUACUGAGGUACGGCGCAGACUCCUACGGGAGGCAGCAGUGGGGAAUAUUGCACAAUGGGCGGAAGCCGGAUGCGGCAACGUCGCGUGCGGGAUGACGUCCUUUGGGUUGUAAACCGCUUUCGCCUGUGACGAAGCGUUAGUGACGGUAAUGGGUAAAGAAGCACCGGCUAACUACGUG